UACGAAGGGGGCUAGCGUUGUUCGGAAUUACUGGGCGUAAAGCGCGCGCAGGCGGCUAUCCAAGUCAGUGGUGAAAGCCCGGAGCUCAACUCCGGAACUGCCAUUGAAACUGUUUAGCUUGAGGAUGAGAGAGGUGAGUGGAAUUCCAAGUGUAGAGGUGAAAUUCGUAGAUAUUGGGAAGAACACCGGUGGCGAAGGCGGCUCACUGGCUCAUUACUGACGCUCAGGCGCGAUAGCGUGGGGAUCAAACAGG
rnacentral:rRNA from 1 species